rnacentral:rRNA from 1 species
GAUGAACGCUGGCUACAGGCUUAACACAUGCCAGUCGAGGGGAAACGACGGGGAAGCUUGCUUCCCCGGGCGUCGACCGGCGCACGGGUGAGUAACGCGUAUCCAACCUGCCUCUGACUGAGGGAUAACCCGUCGAAAGUCGGCCUAAUACCUCAUGGCAUCGUCUGCGGGCAUCCAACGACGAUUAAAGAUUUCAUCGGUCAGGGAUGGGGAUGCGUCUGAUUAGCUAGUUGGCGGGGUAACGGCCCACCAAGGCGACGAUCAGUGGGGGUUCUGAGAGGAAGGUCCCCCACAUUGGAACUGAGACACGGUCCAAACUCCUACGGGAGGCAGCAGUGAGGAAUAUUGGUCAAUGGGCGAGAGCCUGAACCAGCCAAGUAGCGUGCAGGAUGACGGCCCUAUGGGUUGUAAACUGCUUUUAUGCGGGGAUAAAGUGAGGGACGUGUCCUUCAUUGCAGGUACCGCAUGAAUAAGGACCGGCUAAUUCCGUG